rnacentral:rRNA from 1 species
UAGCAAUACGAUGGAAAGUCUAGUGGCGAACGGGUGCUUAACACGUGGGCAACCUGCCGAGAAGUGGGGGAUAGCUCGCCGAAAGGCGAAUUAAUACCGCAUGUGAUUAGAGUGGACAUCCAUUCGAAAUUAAAGUCGGGGCAACCUGACGCUUCUUGUGGGGCCCGCGGCCUAUCAGCUAGUUGGUGAGGUAACGGCUCACCAAGGCUUUGACGGGUAGCUGGUCUGAGAGGACGACCAGCCACACUGGGACUGAGACACGGCCCAGACACCUACGGGUGGCAGCAGUCGAGAAUUUUUGACAAUGGGGGAAACCCUGAUCGAGCGACGCCGCGUGGAGGAUGAAGGUCUUCGGAUUGUAAACUCCUGUCAUUGGGGAACAAUGCGUGACGCUUAACUGCCGUUGCGUUGAUAGUACCCGAAGAGGAAGAGACGGCUAACUCUGUGCCAGCAGCCGCGGUAAUACAGAGGUCUCAAGCGUUGUUCGGAUUCAUUGGGCGUAAAGGGUGCGUAGGCGGCGCGGUAAGUCGGGUGUGAAAUCUCGGAGCUUAACUCCGAAACUGCAUUCGAUACUGCCGUGCUUGAGGACUGGAGAGGAGACUGGAAUUCUCGGUGUAGCA